GAUGAACGCUGGCGGCGUGCCUAAUACAUGCAAGUCGAGCGAACAGAUGAGGAGCUUGCUCCUCUGACGUUAGCGGCGGACGGGUGAGUAACACGUGGAUAACCUACCUAUAAGACUGGUAUAACUUCGGGAAACCGGAGCUAAUACCGGAUAAUAUAUUGAACCGCAUGGUUCAAUAGUGAAAGACGGUUUUGCUGGCACUUAUAGAUGGAUCCGCGCCGCAUUAGCUAGUUGGUAAGGUAACGGCUUACCAAGGCAACGAUGCGUAGCCGACCUGAGAGGGUGAUCGGCCACACUGUAACUGAGACACGGUCCAGACUCCUACGGGAGGCAGCAGUAGGGAAUCUUCCGCAAUGGGCGAAAGCCUGACGGAGCAACGCCGCGUGAGUGAUGAAGGUCUGCGGGUCGUAAAACUCUGUUAUUAGGGAAGAACAAAUGUGUAAGUAACUAUGCUCGUCUUGACGGUACCUAAUCAGAAAGCCACGGCUAACUACGUG
rnacentral:rRNA from 1 species